GACGAACGCUGGCGGCGUGCCUAAUACAUGCAAGUAGAACGCUGAAGGGAGAGCUUGCUCUUCUGGAUGAGUUGCGAACGGGUGAGUAACGCGUAGGUAACCUGCCUGGUAGCGGGGGAUAACUAUUGGAAACGAUAGCUAAUACCGCAUAACAUUGACUAUUGCAUGAUAGUUAAUUGAAAGGUGCAAAUGCACCACUACCAGAUGGACCUGCGUUGUAUUAGCUAGUUGGUGGGGUAACGGCUCACCAAGGCGACGAUACAUAGCCGACCUGAGAGGGUGAUCGGCCACACUGGGACUGAGACACGGCCCAGACUCCUACGGGAGGCAGCAGUAGGGAAUCUUCGGCAAUGGACGGAAGUCUGACCGAGCAACGCCGCGUGAGUGAAGAAGGUUUUCGGAUCGUAAAGCUCUGUUGUAAGGGAAGAACGAGUGUGAGAGUGGAAAAUUCACACUGUGACG
rnacentral:rRNA from 1 species